CAGCCGCCGCCGCCAUCAUCUCCCACCUCGGGAUCCUCCCAUUCCCCACCGCGCCAGCCACCAGCCACAGCUGGAUCCAAUCCAUCCACUGCAGCCAAUCCAUCGAUCACCUUCCACCCCGCUCGAGGUUCUCCUCGUUCCUCUCGCACCCGAGGAGAGAGCAGACGCAUCGCUCGCGCUCGAAGCCUCAUGCCUCCCCGACGCCCUCGCCUCGCGCCGGCAAGUGACCUCGCCGGAGUGCCCUGCCGGAGUAACAGCCACACCAGGGACCCUCACGCCCUUCUCCUUCCCUGCUCUCUCUCUCUCUCUCUCUCUCUCUCUCUCUCUCUCUCUCUCUCGGCUUCCCCGUUUUUCUUCUCUCAAUUCUCUCUGUCUUUCUUUCUUCAGGACUCAGUAGCAGCCAUGGACGCCGUCGCGCAGACCUGCCUCCGUUCCCGUGACCACAUGCCGGAGCAGGCAUGGCUGUCACCGUAGAGCUCGAUGCCGAGCGCCGCCUUCGAGGCUUCAACCCCCACCACUGGUCUGCGUGGUUUGCCGAUGCACCCGGCGGAUGAAGCUGCCGGUGCCCCUGCUCCAGCGCUACAUCGCCUCCCCCCGCACCAAUCCCAGCUCCUCGUUUCCGGCAGGAUCCGCCCCAACGUCGUGGUUCCCCGGCGCCCCGAACCUCCCCUGCUUCGUCGCUGCUCGAGCUCGGGCAAGCUCCUAGACCCAUGGCGCCCCUCCCAUGCGCGCUUCCUCUUAUCCUCCGCGCCCACUGUAGCUCGAGGAGGUGGAUCCCCUCGAUCCCGUGCUUCGCGUUGACCGCUUCCGGCUACCUCUACGUUGGAUUCGCGCCAAGUUCCUGCGCCCGCGAAGCCUCUGCAUCGAGCGCCAAGUUUUGCCUCCUGCUCUGCUUCGCCGUUGUCUGCAGCCGCUUGAAUCGGUGCCAGCGUGUUGACCGCGUCGCUGCCCAAGCCGCCUGCUGUUUCCGCCGAGGCCGCGUCAGGCCCAGCCAGCGCCCGCCGGCCUGCCUCUUCCACCGUAUGGGCUUGGCCCAUGGUGAGAAAGGCCCAGUGGCCUUUUUUUUCAGAUCUGUGAAUUAGUCAAUUUCCAGGGAUUUGUACUUUUGCAGAUCAACCCCUAAACUUCAUGCAUUUCAUUACUCACAAACAGUGCAUCAUAUAUAAAAAACUUUAUAUAUGAAAAAUGCUUAUAAUCUUGUCUAGUUUCAUAAUAUGUCAUUUUCAUCCAUGGUUAAAAUGUUUAAUAUGAUGUUUGGUUAA